rnacentral:rRNA from 1 species
UCCUGGCUCAGGAUAAACGCUGGCGGCGCGCAUAAGACAUGCAAGUCGAACGGACUUAACCCAUUCUUCACGAUUGGGAGCGGUUAGUGGCGGACUGGUGAGUAACGCGUGAGCAACCUGCCUAUUAGAGGGGAAUAACAAUGAGAAAUCAUUGCUAAUACCGCAUGAUACUUUUUGGGGGCAUCCCUGAAAAGUCAAAGAUUUAUUGCUGAAAGAUGGCCUCGCGUCUGAUUAGCUAGAUGGCGGGUAACGGCCCACCAUGGCGACGAUCAGUAGCCGGUCUGAGAGGAUGAACGGCCACAUUGGGACUGAGAUACGGCCCAGACUCCUACGGGAGGCAGCAGUGGGGAAUAUUGGGCAAUGGGGGAAACCCUGACCCAGCAACGCCGCGUGAAGGAAGAAGGCCUUCGGGUUGUAAACUUCUUUUAGCAGGGACGAAGAACGUGACGGUACCUGCAGAAAAAGCAACGGCUAACUACGUG